CCUACGGGAGGCAGCAGUGAGGAAUAUUGGUCAAUGGACGAGAGUCUGAACCAGCCAAGUAGCGUGAAGGAUGACUGCCCUAUGGGUUGUAAACUUCUUUUAUAAAGGAAUAAAACGAGGCACGUGUGCCUUUUUGCAUGUACUUUAUGAAUAAGGAUCGGCUAACUCCGUGCCAGCAGCCGCGGUAAUACGGAGGAUCCGAGCGUUAUCCGGAUUUAUUGGGUUUAAAGGGAGCGUAGAUGGGUUUUUAAGUCAGUUGUGAAAGUUUGCGGCUCAACCGUAAAAGUGCAGUUGAUACUGGGAGACUUGAGUAUGUGUAGGGAAGAGGGAAUUCGUGGUGUAGCGGGGAAAUGCUUAGAUAUAACGAAGAACCCCGAGGGAGAAGGCAUUGUACAAGA
rnacentral:rRNA from 1 species